GAUGAACGCUGGCGGCGUGCCUAAUACAUGCAAGUCGAGCGAACGGACGAGAAGCUUGCUUCUCUGAUGUUAGCGGCGGACGGGUGAGUAACACGUGGAUAACCUACCUAUAAGACUGGGAUAACUUCGGGAAACCGGAGCUAAUACCGGAUAAUAUUUUGAACCGCAUGGUUCAAAAGUGAAAGACGGUCUUGCUGUCACUUAUAGAUGGAUCCGCGCUGCAUUAGCUAGUUGGUAAGGUAACGGCUUACCAAGGCAACGAUGCAUAGCCGACCUGAGAGGGUGAUCAGCCACACUGGAACUGAGAUACGGUCAAGACUACUACGAGAGGCAGCAGUAGGGAAUCUUCCGCAAGGGGCGAAAGCAUGACGGAGCAACAACGCGUGAGUGAUGAAGGUAUUCGGAUCGUAAAACACUGUUAUUAGGGAAGAACAUAUGUGUAAGUAACUGUGCAAAUCUUGAAGGUACCUAAUCAGAAAGCCACGGCUAACUACGUG
rnacentral:rRNA from 1 species